CUACGGGCUGCUGCAGUGGGGAAUAUUGGACAAUGGGCGAAAGCCUGAUCCAGCAAUGCCGCGUGAGUGAUGAAGGCCUUAGGGUUGUAAAGCUCUUUUACCAGGGAUGAUAAUGACAGUACCUGGAGAAUAAGCUCCGGCUAACUCCGUGCCAGCAGCCGCGGUAAUACGGAGGGAGCUAGCGUUGUUCGGAAUUACUGGGCGUAAAGCGCGCGUAGGCGGCUUUUUAAGUCAGGGGUGAAAUCCCGGGGCUCAACCCCGGAACUGCCCUUGAAACUGGAUGGCUAGAAUACUGGAGAGGUGAGUGGAAUUCCGGGUGUAGAGGUGAAAUUCGUAGAUAUUCGGAAGAACACCAGUGGCGAAGGCGACUCACUGGACAGUUAUUGACGCUGAGGUGCGAAAGCGUGGGGAGCAAACAGGAUUAGAUACCCCUGUAGUC
rnacentral:rRNA from 1 species